rnacentral:lncRNA from 1 species
CGGACACGAAUGGCGGGGCACGUUCCAUUAGUUUGCUUGUGUAUGUGUAAGGAAGUUUUGUACCUUUGUUGUGCCACACGCCCGUUCUUGAUCUUGCCCGAUGCACACACUGACCUGCAGACGCGGACGGUUCCUUCACGGGCACCAAGCGCCCCACGCUGGUAGCGUCCUACUCCGCCACCAACAACACCGGGCCCUGCGAUGCCGCUGCGCCCACACCCUGCACCUCGAGCUUUAACUGGUGGCGCACGGACACGGCCUGCACGGCCACGCCGCCAAAUGUGUGAGUGCGGGGUCGGCUGGGCUAUUGGCUGUGCCGGUGACUUGGCAGUGCAGGGCAACAUAGCACGCACUGCUGACACUCAACACCACUGGCAUUGCUAUCUGUCCCUCAACCAACAAACACAUGCGCAGGCCUGCAACGUCGAACGUCCUCGCGUGUGACUGGUGGGUGGAGAAUGGACGGACCUGCUGUGUGCUUUGUGGAUGCAAACAUAGCAGCUGUUGCCUUUUAUGCUGCACAUUGACGGAUACGUACAUGGGCAUUGACCCUACCUGCUUUUACUCGCCGUGUUCGCCAGGUACCCAUGGCGCACCCAGGGGCGCCUGAGGCUGGAGGUGCCGAGCUAUGACCUCACGGUAACAACUUGAUGGUCUGCACGCCUCGCUAUGAACCUUCCACGUGGGGUGUCCCAACCAACAACGUGUUAUGCGACCUGCAUUCGCGUCACGUUUGCCUUGACUACGCUCCUGCGCAGACUGAAGAGGCUGGCUGGUUGUGGCCUUCCGUCAACAACAUCAACGUGUACGACGCCGGCGUGGUGGCGCAGUUCGGCCAGACCGGCGCCAACCGCCGCGCCACCAUCAUCACUCGGGCCGAGGGCGUGACGGGCCUGACGGGGCGCGGCGGCUGGUACGCGCACUGGAGCCUGGGCGCACCCAAGUACGUCAAGGUGCAUUUGGAGACUGUGCCCCGCGGCACCUCCAUCAUCUUUGCUACACGCUACCCCGCCGGCACCACCUUCAGCAUCACCCGCGUGGCCAGCUCCUGGCUGGUGCCUGACGGGCAGCUGCUGCCCGCGACCAGCCUGGCGGCGGUGCUGGGCAGCGACUCCGGCGAGUUCUACUUCUUUGACGGCAAGCUGCUGUACCUGAAGCUGGUGGACCUUUGGGAGGAGCCGUACCAGGGUCGGCUGCCGGCCCGGAGCGGCGGGCUGAUGGUGCCCGGCAGCCGCUGGGAGGAGUACUAUGAGGUGACGGCCAGCAUCCCUGGCUGCUCCACGUCGCCGUACCCCAGCCAGAACGGACAAGACUUCUCUGGGCAGUUCUGUGCCAUGAACGUGAGUCAGGAUCAGGCCAAUGAGGCCAUGCAUUGGGACUGGGAGUAGGCAUGGCAGGGGCAGCAGGGGCAGGGACUGUGUGCACGUGCCCCUUUGGAACCCAGAACGGCGCCAGCCUCACCAAACCUGCCGCUGGGCCACCCUGUGUACAUACCGUAUGACAUUCUUCCUCUCCUUGCGCUCCAGGGCACUGUGGACAGCUUCAUCCCGCCCGCCAUCACGGCGGCCUACAACGAAUGGACCAUCCCCUACUGCGCCGAGGUGGCGCCGCCGCUGAGCGUAUGCAGCGCACUCAACGUGUCUGCCGGCAACUGCACCUGCGCGACGUUGCAGCAGCAGGGCCGCUGCGCUGACAUGGGAACCGGCGGCGUGUGGCUGGGCAACACGUCGGACGCCAACCUGCGUGCCAAUGUGGCCAAGACGCUCGGCUACUGCUCUGUGACGUGCGGUCGCUGCAGCGAGGGCCAGGAGUGGUGCCGCGACAUCCCCAUCAUGCCGCUCAGCCUGUCCAGUGAGUGGAAGGAGGGGAUGAGGACACUUGUAAGGCGUUUGCAGUUUGGCUUGCUUCGUGGUUCUAACGCUUCCCGCGGUGUGGCGCCCCUCCCAUUCCAUCUUUGCCUGCAGAGAACCAGACGUGCUCGCAGAUGGUUCCGCUGGGCCGCUGCUACGAGGUGGCGCCCAAGGGCUACUGCCACGACACGUGUGGCGUGUGCAGCGGCGCAGGGCUGCCGUGUGUGGACCUGCGCUGGACAGAUCAGUACACAUGCGCCGACCUCAAGUCUUGGGGCUCGUGCAAUGACACCUGGGUCACGGACAACAACUUUUGUCGAAAGACGUGCGGCGCGUGCACGGGCAUGCCCCGGCCACCGUCGCCGCGGCCGCCUUCGCCACGCCCGCCAUCUCCUUCGCCUCCGUCGCCACGCCCACCAUCGCCGCCCUCACCUCCCUCGCCUAGCCCGCCCUCUCCUAAGCCGCCCUCGCCACCGUCUCCUCCUUCACCCAGCCCACCGUCUCCCAAGCCGCCUACACCGCCAUCCCCCGUGCCGCCCUCGCCCAAGCCUCCCGUGCCGCCUUCUCCCGUACCACCCUCACCGAAGCCCCCUGCGCCUCCUUCGCCCUCCCCGCCAUCUCCCAAGCCGCCCGCGCCCUCUCCCCCUCCGGUCCCUCCAUCCCCAAAGCCACCGUCUCCCUCGCCGCCCACACCUCCCAAGCCGCCGUCGCCUUCCCCGCCCUCGCCGUCGAACAGCCCUUGGCGUUGCACCGGCAACACGGCCGGCAUCGCUGGGUGUGUGGACCCGGCAUCCUACCCAGCGCCUGCCUCGUCAGCCAACGCAGCGACUUGCGGCGUCCUUCCUUCGUGCACAACCAUCGGCUGCCCCCAUUGCGACGCGUCGCUCAAGCGCUGGGACUCGGCUGCGACGUGGACAAAUUACGCUAACCAGGUGCCGGUGUCAGGCGCGGACAAGGACGUAACUCUUCCGCCGGGCACCCGUGUGCUGCUUUCGGGCUGCAUGCUGAGCGGGGGCUCGCGCUUCCGCCGCAUCACCGUUCCCGAGGGCAGCCAGGUAUGCGUCUUGGCGCAUUUGUGGUAAACUGCAAAUGCGGGGACCAGGACCUUGCGCGUUGGAAGUUGGGUGGUUAGCCAACGAAACCGUGUGUGUAAGCCGAGCUUGGGCGUUGCAACCCGGGCGCCUUCCCUGCUCACUUCAAUCGUGCCGUACGCGUUUUGGUCACGCCUCACACCAUGUCCCUGCCCCGGCUUUCUGUGCGCUGUGCAGCUGGUUAUAGACGACGCGCCGCUGAACCUGACGCUGACCACGCUGCUGGUGCAAGGCAACUUCAGUAUGGGCUCCGCCAGCUGCCGCCUGCAGAGCGCCAUCUCCAUCACGUUCGCGCCCGCGGCAGGAGUGCCCACCAACAUGAUGGCGCUCAAGGUGUGCAGGGAAAGCUUCUUUGGGACGGGCCCUCAGUAGGGCAUGUGGGUCGGGAUCGCCCGUGUCCAGGUGGGCUAGGUGGCAGUGUCGCGGGCAAUCAAGGUGUUCAUGCUGGACUCUGUGGCGUAGGAGCACUGUGUGUGCACUCUCCUCUUGUACACCUGCACCAAGGGUUCCCUCCCCUGCACAGGGCAUGAACACCAGCACUGUGGACAUGCACGGCGUGCUGUUCACGCCCACUUGGACGCGGCUGACUCAGACAGCGGCCCCGGGCACUCGUUGGGUGACUGUGCGCGACGCAGUCAACUGGCGUGUGGGGCAGCUGGUGGCCGUCCCUACCAGCGUGUGGAAAGACGAGUGCCGCAACCAGAACGAGGUCAGGCAGAUCCAGAGCAUCAGCGCCGACGGCAAGAACAUCACAUUCACGACGGCGCUGCAGUUUUUGCACUACGGGUAGGUUGGCGCUAACCUUCGAGUGAUGCUGUUUGGACGGCCGGGGCCCGUUUAUGUGCAUGUGGUGCCCAUAGUGACACCACGUACCAUCGCGGUCCUGGUGCAGGGGCCCCGAGUACCAGACGGAAGUGGUGCUCCUGAGCCGCAGCAUCCUGUUGCAAGGCAGCCCCGAGUCCGCGGCCGAGCUGGCGGGCGGGCACGUGCGCAUUGAGAGCAAGGUGGGUUCGCGCGAGGGCAAGGUGACCACUUGGCGGCGGCAUGCUGGUUGGCAUUAACGUGCAGUGCGAACGCGCACUUGUAUCUUCGAGUGAACCUCCGCUCACCUGGCGGUUCCCGUGAUCUGUGACGUGCAGCGCGGGCGCAUCCGCGGCGUGCUGGGCUACCGCAUGGGCCAGCAGUUUCAGAUGGGCAGCUACCCGUUCCAUUUCCACAUGGCGGGCGAGGUGCCGUCUGACAGCUACAUGACCGACAACGCAGUGUACGCCAGCUACUGGCGAGGUGCGCUUAUGGAGGCUUCAGGAUGUGUGUACUGUGAAGGCUGUCGUUGCAGAAUGGCCAUCCCAAACUUGCCCUGAUGACUGCCUUGACCGUAUGCCUACCUCUUGCCCACGCUCGCAGCCUUCACCAUCCACGGCACGCACGCGCUGACGGUGGCCAGCAACACCGCCUUCCACGUGGCCGGCUCGGCGUUCUACAUUGAGGACGGCGCGGAGGAGCGCAACCGCAUCAGCGGCAACUUUGCCGGCUUCGUGCACCCGCUGGGCCGUGUGGACACGUGCGACGCGGUUGGCAGCGUGUUCGGCGCGCCCACCAUCUACCAGUCUGCUACACUGCUGCAGCCUGCCGACUGGGCCGCUGCUGGCUUCUACCUUAGGUGGGCGCAUGGGGCUAGGGCCGCCUGUGUAUGGUUUCUUGCCUUUGCAAUAUCUGCGUGCGUGCCAUACGCUACGACUUGGUGAUUCCCACACGGGCUUCCCAUCGUUGCAGCAACGCCUACAACUACAUCGACAACAACGCGGCCAGUGGCGGCACCAGCGGCUUCAUGUUCCUGAACCUGCCCUUGCCGAUCGGGGUGAGUGCCGGUGUGUGCCCCCUCAUUGCAUGCUGGGUGGCAUCUUUCUUUCACAAUGCUCAAUCGUGACCCGGCUGGUGACUUCGUUUCACUAUGCCGCCUGUGCGUGCCCAUAUCUGCCCAGCUGAACCGCAACGUGCCGCUGGAGCCCUACAAGCGGCCCCCGCUGAGCUUCAGCGGCAACACCGCGCACUCGUCCGGCUAUCACUGGGACAAUGCGGGUGCAAUCUACUGCGGCGGUAACCUGCAGUACGACACAGACAACGUGACGCUGAUCUACAAGAUUGAGCGGUCCACGUUUGACCCCACGUGAGUCUUUGUGAGCUGCUUACAGCUUUCCCUUUCGCCCAGCCAUUUCGGCAACAUGCGCCGUACUCUCCCUCACUUACUUACCACAGAGACACGGCCAACUCUUCGUUACCGGUCAAGUUUGUGUUGCGCAACACCAAAGUGUGGCUGGGCGGCUUCUCAGUCGCUUCCUAUGGCGACCGGUUCUUGGUGAGUCAUUACGAUGCAUGUGGCCUUUGCCCCUGUGACUGCUUGCAAGCACGUUUGCUGCUGGACCGCACAUGAACCUACGCGCUACCUACCUGCGUCUUGCUUGUGCCCGCCCCCAGGUGGACGGCUUUGAGUCGCAUGACGGCACCAUGGGCGCGGCGGUGCGCGGUGACCCCAAUGAGCUGCUCAAUGCCGACCUGAACCUCAACUCCGCCCACGCCGGCUGGCUGACUGCCAACAUCCCCAAUGAGUGAGUCUUCUGCCUGCAAUCAUAGGCCAUGCUAUGCCGCUCGUCGCAGCUACCCGGUCGAUAACGCCCGUAAGCCCCAUCGCACCCGGCUGCUCCUUUGGUUUACCACUCGCAGCCUGCAACAAGGCUACCGCUUCGGUCUGCAGUUCUACGACACGUGGAUGCGGCACCUUAUGUCCAACGUCACCAUCCGCAACGUGGUGUACAGCAGCACCGAGUGGCUCACGCAGGCGGCGCUGGUGGCAUUGACCUUUUCGGACCAGUUUAAGCCGUUCCACGUGGCCAGCAUUCGGGGCAUCCGCCUAGUGAACGUGACCAAGGCGGCCGUGUUGAGCAACCCCGUGGUCCGCACUGGGUCAUGGCGCUUCUACAACUUCCUGGGUGCGGACACGAAUGGCGGGGCACGUUCCAUUAGUUUGCUUGUGUAUGUGUAAGGAAGUUUUGUACCUUUGUUGUGCCACACGCCCGUUCUUGAUCUUGCCCGAUGCACACACUGACCUGCAGACGCGGACGGUUCCUUCACGGGCACCAAGCGCCCCACGCUGGUAGCGUCCUACUCCGCCACCAACAACACCGGGCCCUGCGAUGCCGCUGCGCCCACACCCUGCACCUCGAGCUUUAACUGGUGGCGCACGGACACGGCCUGCACGGCCACGCCGCCAAAUGUGUGAGUGCGGGGUCGGCUGGGCUAUUGGCUGUGCCGGUGACUUGGCAGUGCAGGGCAACAUAGCACGCACUGCUGACACUCAACACCACUGGCAUUGCUAUCUGUCCCUCAACCAACAAACACAUGCGCAG